UACAGAGGUCUCAAGCGUUGUUCGGAUUCAUUGGGCGUAAAGGGCGCGUAGGCGGCGAGGUAAGUCGGGUGUGAAAUCUCAGAGCUCAACUCUGAAACUGCACUCGAUACUGCUUUGCUAGAGGACUGGAGAGGAGAUUGGAAUUCACGGUGUAGCAGUGAAAUGCGUAGAGAUCGUGAGGAAGACCAGUGGCGAAGGCGGACCUCUGGACAGUUCCUGACGCUGAGGCGCGAAGGCCAGGGGAGCAAACGGG
rnacentral:rRNA from 1 species